AUGCUCAAGGCCUCGCUCUUCCCGCACCACGCGCUCCCGACCGCCAGGCUGCUCGCCUCCCCGCUCGCGCCGCUGCCCUACGCGCUCUCCCUCUUCGCCGCCAUUCCGUGCCCCACCCUCUUCCACCACACGGCCCUCCUCCGCGCCCUCUCCGCGUCACCCUCCUUCUCCUCGGCCGCCUCCGCGUCCCUCGCCGUCCUCGCCUCCGCCCGCGCGCGCCUCCCGGCGCUGGACGAGUUCGCCUUCCAGCCGCUCGUCGCGCUCUGCGCCAAGAACUCCGGCGACGACGCGGCGGCCUCGCUCGGGCGGCAGGUUCAUGCGCUCGUGCUGCCGUACGGGUUCUCGGGCGUCGUGGGCCUGGGGAACGUGCUGUGCCACUUCUACUGCUGCAUAGGGAACAUGGGGGACGCGCGGAGGAUGUUCGAUGAAAUGCCUGAGAGGGACACCGUGUCGUGGAACACGAUGAUCGGAAGCUAUGCCAGGGCCGGGGAGAUCAGUGCGGCGGUGGAGAUGUUCGGCGCUAUGAUGUGCUGUGGUGUGGAUGUCAGUGCGACGGCGGUGGUCGCCUUGGCUGCGUGCGGGUGGCAAGGGGAGUCAGUGCAUGGGUUCAGCGUCAAGACAGGGUUCUGCAAGGAUGUCAAGGUGGCGGCAGCAAUGGAGGGGAUGUAUUUUAGGAAAGGGGAGAUUGGAUGUGCAAAGAAGGUCUUCGAAGAGGCGACGAGGAGGGACUUGGUGCUGUAUAAUUGCAUGGUGGAUAGCUGCGCAAAGGCCAGGCGAAUCGAGGAGGCAAUGGGCUUGGUGGAUAGGAUGAGACAGGAGGGACUGAAACCAAACACAGGGACUCUUGUGGGUGUGCUCUCUGCGUGUGGAGCAUCGGGGGCAAUCGUACCCGGUCGUCGCAUCCAUGAGCUUGCGCUGGAGAUUGGUCUUGAGCUUGACACUGCACUAGGAACAUCGCUCGUGGAUAUGUACUUCAAGUGUGGGUACCCAAAGGAGGCAAUUGCAGUUUUUUAUGCAAUGCGCGACAGGGAUGUGAUGGCAUGGACUGCGAUGAUCAUGGGGUUGGGGGUUAAUGGGCAGUCAGAUGCCGCAAUAUCACUGUUUCACUCAAUGCAGCAAGACGGUGUCACUCCUAACGAGGUUACCUUUCUUGCUGUGCUGAAUGCUUGUAGCCAUGGCGGGUUAGUGUUUGAAGGGAAGAAGCACCUCGAGAGCAUGGUCCGGAAAUAUGGUAUGUCUCCUCACACCGAACACUAUGGCUGCAUCAUCGAUCUCCUCGGAAAGGCAGGGCGAUUGGAUGAAGCGUAUGAGCUUAUAAGAAGUUUGUCGUCCCAUGGCGAUGCUAUGGGAUGGAGAACUUUACUUGCAGCCUGCAGAGUUCAUGGCAAUGUCGAACUGGGGAGGACGGUGCAGGCAAGGCUGGACGCCAUGGGCAAUUACCAUCCGUCAGAUACCAUUCUGCUGUCGAACGCAUAUGCACUGGGAGACCGUUGGGAUGAAAUAGCACAGGCCAGGGAUUCGCAAGGGCAGAAAAUGGUCAUGGACAGGAAAGAAGCGGGUUGCAGCGCCAUUGAGGUGUCUUCCUCAGAUAUCUAA
rnacentral:rRNA from 1 species